rnacentral:lncRNA from 1 species
ACUUAAAUUAUCAGAUAUUUUCAAGAGGUAUUUAUAUAAAAUUUGGACUAGAUAAAUGCAAAACAUAAUAGAUAAUAUGAGAAAACUAAGUGAUUUCAAAAUAGGCUGAAAAUUGAACCUAUGGAAGAAGGCAAAACAUAUAAAUGCUUGGCUUCUUACAAUUAAACAUAUUGCAUGAAAAUAAGUUAAGCAAAUGUUAUAGAUCAGUGAUCUCAAACUCAAAUUGCAUGCAGACCGAAUGCAUAAUUCGAAAGGAAACGAAGGGCCGAAUAUUUUUAAUGAAAGUAAAAUAUUUUACUGAUACAGUAGUUACCGAUAGCACAGCACAGGCUGAAUACAGUACGCUUUAAAACUUUA